CUGCAGGAGUUCCCAUUGUGGCUCAGUGGCUUAAGAACCCAACUAGCAUCCAUGAGGAUGCAGGUUCCAUCUCUGGCCUCACUCAGUGGGUUAAGGAUCUGGCGUUGCUGUGGCUGUGGUGUAGGCCGGCAGCUGUAGCUCCGAUUAGACCCCUAGCCUGGGACCCUCCAUAUGCUACCAUAUAUCCGGGGGACCUAUCCUAGUCACAUGGAACUCUUUUUAAGAAAUCACAUUUUCUAAAAAGCAUUUUUGCAUAUGUGUGUGUUUAAGAAAUAACAUUUUGAAAUAUGAGAAAGAGUUAUUUAAGAGCAGAUAGUAGUGGAAAAGAGAAUUCCACGCAGAUGGAAUAUUCGCAGAGGUCUUGAGUCAAAACCGGGCAUGGCAUUUUAAAACCUGUGGAUUGGAGAAGUGAAAUGAGUAAGGACUUCAGUAAGAAAUAAAACUUGGAGAGUUAAGUUGGGGAACAAAAUUAUGCAGAAUAAAACUGAUAGGACUGUAUAAUAGAGUCGGUGUGGGCCGUGAGGUGCCUCUGGCUCAGGGCCUCCAUGCGCGUGCUCAUGGUCCCGUUCGCUAGAGGGCCACGUUUUGGUGGAAAUGAGCUUGUGUUUGAUUUGAAACAAAAGCAAACAACCAGGUUUAUGUUGUGUGUUGUCAAACUGAAGGAAGACACCUCCCCCCAGACAGUUUUCUUAGAUGACUCCUCUUUAUUGUCUCAGUCUUGUGAGUGUAACGUAGGAAUCUCUUUGGUCCUUAUCUGCCUGAUAACCAUUCCGAUCCUGUUUCUCUAGCAAAAUGUUUAGACUGGUCGGUUGAAUAAGAUCAAGAUGAGUUCUGUUCUGUGCUGCUCUGGAGCUCUGUUUAGCAGACCACAUUGAGUGUCUGUUACAAAGUGCAAGUCAGAAUGUGGAUUCAGUAAGUACUGAUGUUUCCUGGUCCUUGGCCCUCUUUUCUCGCUGGAUUCUCUCCCUAGGUAACCUCGUACUGACUUCUCAUAGUCUCAGGGCCUCCUGAGACUAAGAGCUCCCAGGCACGGAUCCCUGGGCAGACUUGCCCUCUCAUCAGCAGGCGUUCGCCCCUCUUUGCACAGACGUCUCUUCCGGACACAUCACAUUCAGUACGUCCAAAUGCAGACUCCUCAUCCCUCCCCACCAAACCCUAGGGAAUGGCACUGCCAGCUCUCUGUUUUAAAAGCCUGGGAGAGGAGUUCCCUUCGUGGCUCAGCAGUUAAUGAACCCAACUCGUAUCCCUGGGGACACAGGUUCAAUCCCUGGCCUUGCUCAGUGGGUUAAGGAUCUGGCUAACGAUUGCCGUGAGCUGUGGUGUGGGUCGAUAACGAGGCUCGGAUCUGGCGUGGCUGUGGCUGUGGUGUAGGCCAGCACCUGCAGCUCCUGUUCAGUCCCUAGCCUGGGAAUCUCCAUGUGCCGUGAGUGCAGCCCUAAAAU
rnacentral:lncRNA from 1 species